GCCGGGCGUGGUGGUGCACGCCUUUAAUCCCAGCACUUGGGAGGCAGAGGUAGGUGGAUUUCUGAGUUCGAGGCCAGCCUGGUCUACAAAGUGAGUUCCAGGACAGCCAGGGCUAUACAGAGAAACAGAGAAACCCUGUCUCAAAAAAAACCAAAAAAAAAAAAAAGACAGGAUCUUACUUUGUAGCCUUGUCUGGCCUAGAACUCAGUAUGUAGACCAGGCUGGCCCCGAACUCACAGAGAUCUGCUUGCUUCU
rnacentral:sRNA from 1 species